rnacentral:rRNA from 1 species
GAUGAACGCUAGCGAUAGGCCUAACACAUGCAAGUCGAGGGGCAGCAUAGAGUAGCAAUACUUUGAUGGCGACCGGCGCACGGGUGAGUAACACGUAUGCAACCUACCUACAUCAGGGGAAUAACCCGGAGAAAUUCGGACUAAUACCGCAUAAUACAGGGAUGCCGCAUGGCAAUAUUUGUUAAAGAUUUAUCGGAUGUAGAUGGGCAUGGGUUCCAUUAGCUUGUUGGUGAGGUAACGGCUCACCAAGGCAACGAUGGAUAGGGGAACUGAGAGGUUUGUCCCCCACACUGGAACUGAGACACGGACCAGACUCCUACGGGAGGCAGCAGUGAGGAAUAUUGGUCAAUGGACGAGAGUCUGAACCAGCCAAAUCGCGUGAAGGAAGACUGCCCUACGGGUUGUAAACUUCUUUUGUACAGGAAUAAAAGACAUUACGUGUAAUGUAUUGCAUGUACUGUACGAAUAAGCAUCGGCUAACUCCGUGCCAGCCGCCGCGGUAA